rnacentral:rRNA from 1 species
UACGAAGGGGGCUAGCGUUGUUCGGAAUCACUGGGCGUAAAGCGCACGUAGGCGGCUUUGUAAGUAAGAGGUGAAAGCCCAGAGCUCAACUCUGGAAUUGCCUUUUAGACUGCAUCGCUUGAAUCAUGGAGAGGUCAGUGGAAUUCCGAGUGUAGAGGUGAAAUUCGUAGAUAUUCGGAAGAACACCAGUGGCGAAGGCGGCUGACUGGACAUGUAUUGACGCUGAGGUGCGAAAGCGUGGGGAGCAAACAGG